GACGAACGCUGGCGGCGUGCCUAAUACAUGCAAGUCGAGCGCAGGAAACUGACGGAACUCUUCGGAGGGAAGGCAGUGGAAUGAGCGGCGGACGGGUGAGUAACACGUAAGGAACCUGCCUCAAGGAUUGGGAUAACUCCGAGAAAUCGGAGCUAAUACCGGAUAGUUCAACGGACCGCAUGGUCCGCUGAUGAAAGGCGCUUCGGCGUCACCUUGAGAUGGCCUUGCGGUGCAUUAGCUAGUUGGUGGGGUAACGGCCCACCAAGGCGACGAUGCCAAGCCGACCUGGGAGGGUGAUCGGCCACACUGGGACUGAGACACGGCCCAGACUCCUACGGGAGGCAGCAGUAGGGAAUCUUCCACAAUGGACGAAAGUCUGAUGGAGCAACGCCGCGUGAGUGAUGAAGGUUUUCGGAUCGUAAAACUCUGUUGUAAGGGAAGAACACGUACGAGAGGAAAUGCUCGUACCUUGACGGUACCUUACGAGAAAGCCACGGCUAACUACGUGCCAGCAGCCGCCGUAA
rnacentral:rRNA from 1 species